GAUGAAGAACGUAGCGAAAUGCGAUAAGUAAUGUGAAUUGCAGAAUUCAGUGAAUCAUCGAGUCUUUGAACGCACAUUGCGCCCCCUGGUAUUCCGGGGGGCAUGCCUGUCCGAGCGUCAUUGCUGCCCUCAAGCACGGCUUGUGUGUUGGGCUCCGUCCCCCCGGGGACGGGCCCGAAAGGCAGCGGCGGCACCGAGUCCGGUCCUCGAGCGUAUGGGGCUUUGUCACCCGCUCUGUAGGCCCGGCCGGCGCCAGCCGACAACCCAUCAUCCUUUUCAGGUUGACCUCGGAUCAGGUAGCGAUACCCGCUGAACUUAAGCAUAUCAAUAAGCGGAGGA
rnacentral:misc_RNA from 1 species